UACGUAGGGUGCAAGCGUUAAUCGGAAUUACUGGGCGUAAAGCGUGCGCAGGCGGUUGUGCAAGACAGAUGUGAAAUCCCCGGGCUUAACCUGGGAAUUGCGCUUGAAACUAGCGGGCUUGAGUGUGGCAGAGGGGGGUGGAAUUCCACGUGUAGCAGUGAAAUGCGUAGAGAUGUGGAGGAACACCGAUGGCGAAGGCAGCCCCCUGGGUCAACACUGACGCUCAUGCACGAAAGCGUGGGGAGCAAACAGG
rnacentral:rRNA from 1 species